GAACGCGCUUCGGCGCACCCAGAAACCCUUUGUGAACUUAUACCUUACUGUUGCCUCGGCGCAGGCCGGCCCCUCCACCGGGGCCCCUCGGAGACGAGGAGCAGCCCGCCGGCGGCCAACCAAACUCUUGUUUCUUAGUGAAUCUCUGAGUAAAAAACAUAAAUGAAUCAAAACUUUCAACAACGGAUCUCUUGGUUCUGGCAUCGAUGAAGAACGCAGCGAAAUGCGAUAAGUAAUGUGAAUUGCAGAAUUCAGUGAAUCAUCGAAUCUUUGAACGCACAUUGCGCCCUCUGGUAUUCCGGAGGGCAUGCCUGUUCGAGCGUCAUUUCAACCCUCAAGCCUGGCUUGGUGUUGGGGCACUGCUUCGAGAGAAGCAGGCCCUGAAAUCUAGUGGCGAGCUCGCCAGGACCCCGAGCGUAGUAGUUAUAUCUCGUUCUGGAAGGCCCUGGCGGUGCCCUGCCGUUAAACCCCCAACUUCUGAAAUUUUGACCUCGGAUCAGGUAGGAAUACCCGCUGAACUUAAGCAUAUCAAUAAGCGGAGGAAAAGAAACCAACAGGGAUUGCCCUAGUAACGGCGAGUGAAGCGGCAACAGCUCAAAUUUGAAAUCUGGCCUCGGCCCGAGUUGUAAUUUGCAGAGGAUGCUUCUGGCGCGGUGCCUUCCGAGUUCCCUGGAACGGGACGCCACAGAGGGUGAGAGCCCCGUAUGGUCGGACACCAAGCCUGUGUGAAGCUCCUUCGACGAGUCGAGUAGUUUGGGAAUGCUGCUCUAAAUGGGAGGUAAAUCUCUUCUAAAGCUAAAUACCGG
rnacentral:rRNA from 1 species